GACGAACCGAGCGAACGUUGUUCGGAAUCACUGGGCUUAAAGGGCGCGUAGGCGGGCUGCCGCGUCCGGGGUGAAAUCCCACGGCUCAACCGUGGAACGGCCCCGGGUACGGGCGGCCUCGAGGGGGGUAGGGGCGUGCGGAACUGUGGGUGGAGCGGUGAAAUGCGUAGAUAUCGUUUGGAACGCCAAUGGUGAAAACAGACAGCUGGGAGUGUGCUGACGCUGAGACACGAAAGCCAGGGGAGCGAACGGG
rnacentral:rRNA from 1 species